rnacentral:rRNA from 1 species
CAGCAGCCACGGUAAUACGAAGGGGGCUAGCGUUGUUCGGAUUUACUGGGCGUAAAGGGCGCGUAGGCGGACUGAUAAGUCAGGGGUGAAAUCCCAAGGCUCAACCUUGGAACUGCCUUUGAUACUGUUUGUCUUGAGUUCGAGAGAGGUAAGUGGAACUGCGAGUGUAGAGGUGAAAUUCGUAGAUAUUGGGAAGAACACCGGUGGCGAAGGCGACUCUCUGGUCUGUAACUGACGCUGAGGAGCGAAAGCGUGGGGAGCGAACAGGAUUAGAUACCCGUGUAGUCCCUGUCUCUUAUAA